GACAAGUUAGAGCAGUGGUUGUCCCGGGGAGGGGAAGGUCCUGACAGCUUAGAGCACUGGUUCUCAAAGUGUGGUGCAGUGAAUCCUUUCAAAGGUCUACAAAUUCAAAAUGAGGUUUUUUUUUUCUAUUUAUGAUAAAUAUUAUGUAACCCAUAUAAACAAAAACUCUUUGGACAUAUUCUCAAUAGUUGUUAAUACCGUAAAGAUACUGAGAAAGAGUUUGAGAACCACUGAGGAACCAGAAGGGAUUUCUGAAGAGGCCAGAAUCAGGCAACCAGGGAUCCCCAUAGAAGUGAGGGAAGGGGACAUUCGGAGCAUGGGGUACAACCCGUACAAAGUAUGGAGAUGAGAAAUGGACAGUUAGGAGUAGAGCAGAACAAAGGGGCCAAUUUCACUCCACUGUGAACCAUAGGGGUGGGGGAAGGAACACAUAAUGACUUUGAAAAAAGGAGACUGAUGCCAGAUUGUGAAGACUUAAUUACACAAAUGAAUUCUUAUUUAAUUUCUGAGACAGUCAGGAGCCCUUAAGCUUCUAGAGCAGAAGAACAGCAGAGCCAGAUUUGUGCUUUAAGAAGGCUGUGUUUAAUGAGGAUGGAAGAAAGGAGAAUGAAGAGAUUUGUUAGGCAGGGAAAGCAAUUAUAAUCAAUAGUCAAGGUCAGAGGUGAUGAGUAAAUAGAAAGAAGAAAGAUUGUAGAGAGAGAAACUUCUCUUUCCUCAUCCAACCUCAACUCAAUUGAAACAAUAUCUACCAAAAACCCUUAGCCCAGUGCCGAGCACACAGUAGGUACAAUAUAAAUGUUCUUUUCCUGUCCCUUCCUCCAAGCUCCCAAACUUCCCUUUCUCAGAAGAGGACCUUACCUUCUACUUUCUGAGAAAAUUAAGACUAUUCAAUGGGAUCUCCUUUUCCCAUUAUUGUCAUCUCAAAUCUCUGGGCAAUUAUCUAUCUCCAACUCUCUCCUCCUUUGCCCUUUUCUCUGACAAAGAAGUUUUAACCAAAGUCAACCUCUGUGUGUGUCCUUGAUGCAUCCCUUGCCCCCAUUCUCCAACAGAUCACAUGCUUAAUUAUCUACCUUCUCUCACAAACUUCCAACCUCUUUAUCUGUUGGCUAUGGCCUUCAAACAUAUCGUAGUCUUCCUCAUCCUUAAAAAAACAAAAACAAAAACAAAAAACCUUUCGCUAGACCUUACCAUCCCUUGAAUUAUCCUCCUGUACCUCUUCUCCCUCCUUGACCAAAUAUCUUGAAAAAGUUAGUUACUUUUUCUGUAACUAACAGAAUUCUGUAGAACAAUUUGGAACCAUACCCAAAGGGCUAUAAAACUGCAUUCCUUUUAAUCCGGCAGUGUCUCUACAAAGUCUGUAUCCCAAAGAGAUCAUAAAAGAGGGGAAAGAACCCACAGGUGCAAAAAGAUUUGUAAUGGCCCUUUUUAUAGUGGUAAGGAACUGGAAACUGAUUGGAUGCCUAUCAAUUGGGAAAUGGCUGAAUAAGUUAUGGUCUAUGGAUGUUAUGGAAUAUUAUGGUUCUAUAAAAAAUGAGGAGCGGGCUGAUUUCAGAAAAACCUGGAAAGACUUAUAUGAACUGAUUCCGAGUGAAGUGAGCAAAACCAAGACAACAUUGUACACAAUAACAGGAAGAUUAUGUGAUGAUCGACUAGAAUAUACUUAGCUUUUCUCAGCAAUAUGGUUAUGAAAGACAAUUCCAGGAACUCUGGAUGGAAAAUUCUUUCCACAUCCAAGAGAGAACUAACUGUGGGAGAUUAACUGUGACUCAAAGCAUAGUCUUUUCACCUUUUUUUUGUUUGCUUUUUCUUUCUUGUGAGGUUUUUUUUUUUCCCUUUGGUCUGAUUUUUCUUUCACAACCUAACAAAUAUAGAACUAUGUUUAAAAGGAUUGCACAUGUUUAACUUAUCAGGUUGCUUAUUGUCUUGCGAGAGGGUAAGUAAGGGAGGGAGGGAGGAAAAUUUGAAACACACAAUCUUACAAAAAUUAAUGUUCAAAACUAUUUUUACAUGUAUUCAGAAAAAAAAAUACUAGCGAGGAAAACA